CAAGCUGGAUUGUUUGCGGCAUCUGUAUUUGCCUAAAUUUCAAGUUGACGUUAUGGGAAGGAAAUCAAAAUUUCGGUUUAAUGGGUUGAGCAAGUUAGAGACACUUGAGAACUUUCACACUAGUUGGUGUGAGGUUAAGGAUCUACGUGAACUGAUCCAUCUUCGGAAACUAAUGCUAACAGUGAGAGGUAGCUUUGAUAUUCUGGAGGAAAUGAUGAAAAACUUGGUUUAUAUAGCCUCCUCACCAUCUUCAUGUCUGAGGUAUUUGGGUGUUUGUAUUGUUGAUUGUGAUAUCGAGCUGAACAAUGGUCUUACUAUCUUGAAACAGUUGGUAUAUGCUGAAAAUUUGAACCUUCGGGAAUUGAUAAUAUAUGGGAGUAUCCCGGAGGUGGGUCUAAUAUUUCCGCUGCGAUAUGUUGGGGAUAAUAAUGCUCAUGUAUCUACAGUUCAUAUUAUAAGUUUAAAUUUAUGGGAAUCAUAUCUGGAAGAAGACCCAAUGCCAAUACUGGAAAUGCUUCCAAUGUUGGGUGCUCUCCGUAUAUUUACGCAUGCAUAUGUGGGGAAGGAGAUGGUAUGCUCCGCAACCGGUUUUCCUAAACUCGUCACUCUUAUUUUGGACAGCUUCCCGAACCUUGAGAAAUGGAGGGUGGAGAAAGGAAGCAUGCCCAUCCUUUCAUGGUUGCGUAUUGAAAGAUGCAACAAGUUGGAAGAGCUCCCAGAAGGCCUAGUGUUCCUCGAGUCCCUUGAAGUACUAAAAAUAUUCCGAAUGUCUCAAGAUUUCAAUGUUAGGCUUAUAAGAGAUGAUGGUGAACAAGGACCCGACUUUCACAAGAUCUCUCACGUCCCUACAAUCAUUAUCGACGAUCAGGAAUACAAUUGAAUGUUUUUGUAGUUUGUAACUUUUUUGUUUUUGUCCUCAAGAACAGAUUUUCUUGAUAUUUGUCACAUAAAAUAUAUAAGAUAUGAGAUCAUUUUGUGUUCCUCUCUAUCUAACAAAACAGCUCAUAGAGCUUGAGUGACUCUUAUAUGGCUAUACCACAAGAAGCCUAUCACAAGAACUCUGCAUCCCAUUCUUAAUGAGUUGUUUGAUAUUUAACACUUAGAAAAAAUUUCAGUUGAACUGCAUGGAGCCAGCUGAUUAAUACAACUAUUAAUUCAUUAUUUAAUUCCUAAAUAAAUAACAAUCAUCUAUCUGUCUACUUAUAUAUUUAAAUGAUAAUCAGGACGACAAAAAGAGUCAGAAAUUAGUUCCGGCUAGCUCCAGUAAACUUGGCUCAACUUAUCUAUUGUGCUAGGAAUGCAAACUCAGAUCUAUAACUAAUACUAACUAAAAUUACUGCAAGUAUAAGCUUUGCUUUGGCAAAGGGGAAUAAUAAUAGUGAACAAUUAUAGAGAAUCUGAUGAUGUGCAGAAGAAACAUGUAUAAGCUGCUCGAUCUCUUAUUCUACUGAUAUUUUAAUACGCAAGUAGAGUUAUUAAUUGAUAAUGUUUUGCUUAUGCCGAGUCAUUUCAUGAUUGUUUAGUAAUUAGUUGUACAACUAUGAGCUGGUCGGUUGUCUGCAUUAUAAGCUUUCAUGGAGGCAGGUUGAUCCGGGAGACUUGUGCGAUGAGAACAGAGGGAACUAUCUUAUUACACUUUCAUUGAUCGUAUCAGGAAAGAGUUCAAGUAUACCAGAAGUAUAUUCUACGUCUAAGCAAAAAUCUUUCAACACAAGUUUAUUCAAUUAACAACAGUCAUAAGCUGUAAGAUCAAUGAUAGACCGCAAGCAAAUGCUUUUUAACAAAAACGUUACCAACAUCGCAUUGCAACAAUAAAUAACAAUGAUAGAAGCGACCGAAAGCAAAUACAAUCCAACAAAAUAACAUCAGCUUCGCAUUGCAAGGUUAUGCAAUUUGAACUUAAGAUCUCUCCAUUAAAUAACAAGCUCUGUACCUUUUGAAAUCAUUUAAUAAUAUCACAUAGAAAAUCUGUAACUUCCCUAUUCUUUGACCGACCUCACCAUGUGUCACAGAACCCAUAGCAACAUCAUAAACAAAUGCUGCUGUACAGUAACAUGGAAUUUAACUAUGACCAGAGAAGCAACAGAGAAUCCAAUGUGCUGAAGACACAUUUAAGCCUAUUCAAAUUUAUAUAAACUUGUUUGGUUUCUGCAGAAGAAUAAGUUAAACAAAUUAAUAAGACCGAAGCAAUUGUGUCGAUUGUUGUGGGAAGGCUCACUGAUUUGUUGAUUGAAAAAGCUCAAAUCCUUCAUGUAGUGAGAGAUGAAAGUCAACUAGCCGUGACUGAGCUUAUGCGGAUAAAGACAUUCUUACCAGAUGCUGACUCAAGGAUUGAUGUAGAAACAAUCCGCAUUUUGGUCCGGGAGGUACGAGAGCUUGCCUAUGAUGCUGAACAUGCUGUCGAAAGUUUUGUUAUUAAAGCCUCAUCCACUAAAAAACCAUUUCAGUGGAUGAACAGAGUCAAGUUUUCAAGGAAGAUGAAAGAUAUACAAAAAAAGAUGUCCAUCUUCUUCGAUUUAUUUUCUGAUUAUAAUAUCAGUCCAACUUCUGAAUCAUCAACUUCCUCCAACAGAGAAUCGGGAAAACUAAAGCGAUUUCACUCUUUCACUACUCCUGAACCAGAGAUAUUUGUUGGAUUUCAUGAAGACGUUGAAUGCUUGGUGCGGCAUUUGCUGAAUGAAACUCAUAAUUCUUACCCACUUCUAUCUAUUUGUGGAAUGGGGGGUCUGGGAAAGACCACUCUAGCUCAAAAGGUAUACAAUCACUCUGCCAUCAAGACUCACUUUGCUGGUUUAGCAUGGGUAUCAAUCUCCCGAAAGUGGCAAACAGAUCGUGUGUUGCAGAGAAUUCUUAUAUGUCUCGUCCCUGAGAACAGAAACUCUAUCCUUAAUAUGGACACUGACAAGCUAGUGGAGUAUAUGCUACAAAUCCAAGAAAGGAAAAAAUGUUUGAUAGUUCUCGAUGAUAUAUGGUCAAGUCAAGCUUGGGAUGCAUUAAAAGCUGCAUUUCCAGCCGGGAAGUCCAUAAGCAAAUUAAUGCUUACAAGCCGUAAUGCUGAGGUUGCUGAGCAUGUAAAUUUAAACGGAUUCAUUCACCAGCCAGAAUGUCUAGGUCCAGAACAAAGUUGAGAGCUACUAAAGUUGAAAGCACUUCACACAGGGAAUUGUCUAGGUAAAUAAUUUUACUUAUGGUUCAUAUACUUUUUUUUUUAUAAUAUGUUUUGUCCGACAACCUUAUAAACAAUAGAACCAUAUUUUUUGUUAAUUGAGUUCGAUAAGUGUGAUUAUAGAUCUGUCUGACAACCUUAAAGAACACUGUUCUGUUCAAUAACAUUUUGUUCAUGUUCGUUUGAAUUCGAUAGUUUGUUUACAAACCUAUGAAGUAGAAUUGUAAACGAAUCUAAUUAGGUGCCCUCUUGAGGUUGAUUUAACGAACUCGAGUUUGAAACCACAUAUUUUGUUUAACAACCUUAACGAAAUUUAUGGGGUUCAGUAAUUUUUGGUCGUGUUGGCUCAAAGUUUAUCUGAGUUAAGUUCUUUUAGGGCUCUAACUUGAACGUGUCGUUUAAACAUUUGCAUUAGUUGAACGACUAAAUUGAAUAUUAUCUUGGCUUAUGUGUGUGUGUCUAUAUAUAUACACACAUAUGAUUCCCGUUUCUUGUGUGUUGCAGACAUUACCAGAGAUGUAAAAAGGAUGGAAGAACUGGGAAGGGAAAUGGUUGAACAUUGUGCCGGUCUUCCGCUGGCUAUAGUCGUUUUGGGUGGAGUUCUUGUAACAAAACCGUCGUUGAUAGAGUGGGAGAAAGUUUAUCGUGAUAGUAAAUCAUCCCUGAAGGCAGGGAAAGGACCGGGAGAAGCCUAUCAAAGAGAAAUAUUAAGUUUUUUAGUUUGGAGCUACAAUGAUUUACCCCCUCAGCUCAAGCCAUGCUUUUUAUAUUUAUCAAAGUUUGGUGAAGAUAAAUGGAUAAAAUUGGAGACUUUGUAUCAGCUAUGGAUCGCUGAAGGAAUGAUACUCUCGAGUGACAAGAGGGAAGGAGAAACAAUGAUACAAGUGGCUGAAUCAUACAUGGGAGAACUAGUCCACAGGAAUAUGGUUCAAGUGAGAUUUAACGAUGUAGAAUCAUCGCUUACAAAGUUUGAAUCUUGUUCUCUGCACGAUCUUAUGAGAGACAUGUCUUUAAUACAAGCAAAAGCAGAAGAUUUUUUUGAAGUAAUACAUUUCCAAAGUGGAAAUGAGUUUCAUCUCAAAUCUACUACAGAGUCAAGGUCAGCUUCCACUCGAGUUGUGAUUCGUUUGGAUGAGGAAUAUUCUAGCAAAGAAGCUAAUUACUACUUUACCAAGAAACGCAAUGAAGAAUGCUAUCGAUCAAUUUUACUCCUGGGUAAGUUUGGAGCAAGAAGUUUGCCACAGGCGCUGGGUUCACAUGUUGCCAAUUUUAGGUUCCUAAAAGUCUUUUCUGUGGAGCACUAUACCAAUUUUUCUGGAGCAUUUUCUCAUAUUAAUUUUGGAAGAGCAGUAGGGUCCCUUGUUUACUUGCGAUAUCUCAGUGUAAGGGACACUAAUUUGUUGAUUUUUCCAUCUCUACAAAAGUUGGUGCUAUUACAAACUCUAAAAUUGGAUACCGACAAGAUAUAUGUUUUACCAUGGCUGUCAAGAGAUGUUCUGGUGAAGAUGGAUUGUUUGCGGCAUUUGUAUUUGCCGAAAUUUAAAGUUGACGUUUUGGGAAGGAAAUCGAAAUUACGGUUUAAUGGGUUGAGCAAGUUAGAGACCCUGGAGAACUUUGACACUAGUUGGUGUGAGGUUAAGGAUCUACGUGAGCUAAUCAAUCUUCGGAAACUAACGGUAACAGUGAGGGGUAGCUGUGAUAUUCUGGAAGAAAUGAUGAAAAACUUGGAUGAUGUAGCCUCCUCACCAUCUUCAUGUCUGAGGUUCUUGGGUGUCACUAUUGUUGAUUGUGAUAUUGAGCUGAACAAUGAUCUUACGAUCUUAAAACAAUUGGUAUAUGCUGAAAAUUUGAACCUUCGGGAUUUGAAAAUAUAUGACCUUAUCCCAGAGGUGGGUCUAAUAUUUCCGCUGCAUGUAUCCACAAUUUGUAUUACAACUUUAUAUUUAAGGGAAUCAUACCUGGCAGAAGACCCAAUGCCAAUAUUAGAAAUGCUUCCAGUGUUGAGUGUUCUCCAAAUGCGUGAGGAUACAUAUGUGGGGAAGGAGAUGGUGUGCUCCGCAACCGGUUUUCCUAAACUCACCGUUCUUAUUUUGUACAAGUUCACAAAACUUGAAAAUUGGAGGGUGGAGGAAGGAAGCAUGCCCAUCCUUUCAUACUUGAUUAUUGGAAGAUGUAACAAGUUGGAGGAGCUUCCCGAAGGCCUUGUGUUCCUCAAGUCCCUUCAUAUAGCUCAAAUGCCUCAAGAUUUCAAUGAUAGGCUUAAAAGGCAAGAUGGUGAACAACGACCCGACUUUAUGCAAAUAUGGAGUUAGCCAGAAAUUUUCUUGUUUUAUGCAAAUCCAGAAAUUUGCUCUCUACUUUUAUUCAGUUUAUGAAAUGAACAGUUUACAAGCUCCGAAAGGUAUAUCUAGUGAUUUUGUCCGCACGUUCUCGACCACUUGCAGACCGUCAAAAUCAAUACCAGGCCACAUUUAUUAUUUUCACACUAACUUUUAAGUUGUGGAGGGUCGAGAAAUCAAAAUGCAUGUAACCAGGAUAAGCCAACAAGGAUGCUGUCAACUGUUUUGUUGCAGGACCAGACUCACAACUAUUUGUCGGUGUUAACUGGCCACACUGGACCAGUCAAGUGUAUUCCAUUUCAAGGGUCUUCUGCUCACCAGUGUAGUGUUUACGAUAUGAAAGUAGACCUGCAAGCAUAAAAGCAAGCAAAUGCCAGCCUUCCUAGCAAAUAAUAACUUACAUUUUGCAAUGACUGUUUCCUAACUUUGUGAGCUCAACUGCAUAGUGACUAAGAAAAAAUCAAAGAAAUCAGUUGAUUACAGGUUCUGUUUCACUGGAGUCCAUAAUUAAGCAUAGCUGGUUGAUCUGAGGCAUUAAUCACCAUCCCCUGAAAUGCAUUUUCUUACUGCUCUGUUGGUAAUUUAUUUUAGUAGCAUUUAAUACUCGGAUUCCUGUUGAUUAUGGUUGCUACCCCUACAACUAUUGUAUAAUGUUAAUGGACAUAGAGCAUCUCCAAUGAGAUUUUUAAACAAGUUCUUAACUCUAAAUUUAUAGAGUAAGUUAAGAAUUAUUGCUCCAAUGAGCUCUAAGAAGCUCUUUAAAAAUUUAAGAGCCUACUAUCUCCUCACUUUUAAAGAGCAUGCAGUAGCUCUUAUCUUUUUAUUUGUGAAUAUAAUAUUAAUUUCCCUCCAAUCUUCUCUCUCUUUUAAUUAACUUUUCUCUCUCAUUUAUACAAAAUAAAUAUAAAAUAUGAAUAAAGAGCUACGUAUAAACAGUAGCAUUAAAGUUAUCAUGUUUUUCAAUGUAUUAAGUCACUAGGAGCCAUAAUUUAUAUUAUUGUUGAAGAAAUGAUUUAGUAGCACCAUUGGAGAUGUUCUUACUCCUUGUGAACAUAGAAUAAAUUAUUUUUUUUGUGCCAAUUCAGUUACGUAAAGAUUUGUCAGAAACAUUUUGUUACUCCACACUAUAAAUUGUCGUGGACGAAUUUUGACCCAUGACAAGUUUUCUCUUCAUAACAUUAUCACUUGGAAAGGUCCUUCAGCAAAUGACAGGAUGUCACCAAUUGCCAAAUUCAUUGCAAUUGCGAACUCUUAAAGUUUUGUUAAUUCAUGUUGGAGUGCAUAUAAGCCUGAACUGCUAUAGCUUUAAUAUACAUGAUUUCCCGACCUGAACUGCUAUGAGUGUUUCCUAGAUUUGAUGGUGAUCAGUAUGUUCAUGGACGGGGCAUCGCCGUCUCAGAGGAGAAGCGGAAGAGGAUGCGACAAUAAGAUUUAUGUGUGUAUUGUAUACUCCCUCCGUCUCAUUCAUUUGUAUACAGUUUCUUUUUCUGGACAUCCCACCAAUUGUAUACAUUCCAAAAAUAGUAAACUUUUAUAAUAUAAAACACCAUUACACCAACUAUUUUCCUCCACUAUCUCCAUUCUAUAAUAAUAUAAACACUAUUACACUCAUUACUUUCCUCCACUAUCUCAAAUCUAUUAUUAAAUAUAAAUGGUCCCACCACUAUACCUACUUUUCAUCUAACUUUACUCAUUUUUUACAUUUUUUCUUGGUCUUCGUAUCCCAACCAAAUGUAUACAAAUGGUUGGGACGAAGGGAACUAGAGCACACGUGAUAGUCAUCAAUCCAGUCAUUUUAAUUUGUUCCCCAAGCUUGGGUGGUGUGGAUGUUAAUAUAGUCUGAGAACCAUUCAUGUUUGAGCAAAGAGUUGUGUGUUAAUAUUGUCUAAGAACCAUUCGUGUUUGAGCAAAGAGUCAUUUGAGUAAAUACGAAUGAUCUCCCCUGUAGAUGUAGAAACCAUUGAAGUUAUAUAAAACUCAAGCAAAUCACAAAUGCACACACAGAUGAGACAAGCUCGUUUUAUUAAUCCGAUAAAUUGCUGCUUACAAAAUGAAAGAAACACACUCUGAUAAACUCAAGUUCAGAGUGUUGGAAAAAAAGUCCUACUUAAACAACUAGCUAAGAUGGUAAGGAUAAACAAGAACUGCUGCCUAUCGUUAAUCCACUCCUACAUGCACUCAUGAAAAACAGCUACAGCUACGGCCUAAUCUUGUGUGCACACUGAUCACAUAGCAACUUAUUUAAAAUAACUAAAUUAAAUAAAAAGCAACUGAAGUAUAUCAGAAUUUAGAUCAAACUCCAACAAGCUCCCCUAAUCUAAACUCGAUUGCAGGUUCUUCACACCCAAUAGCUCACACAUUCCCUCAAACUUAGCCCUUGACAAUGCCUUGGUCAAUACAUCAGCUCUCUGUUCAUUUGUGUUGACAUGUACUUUGAGUAUAAUUUCACCACAUUCUACACAUUCCCAUAUAAAGUGGUAGCGAAUAUCUAUGUGUUUACUCCUUCAUGAAACACUGGAUUCUUUGCCAAAUCUAUUGCCCACUUGUUAUCAAUAUACAGCACCACAGGACCAGCCUUUAUAUUCGUCAUCCGUCUGAGAAGUUUAUAAAGCCAUAUGCCUUGACACACAGCUGCAUUGUUUUUGACAUUGCCAUACCUCUAGUAGACCUCUUGUCAUCCACAUUUCCAACUAGGUCGCUGUUUGAAUAUCCUGAGAGCAAGUAGUUUCCAUCCCGUUUAGAAUAAACCAACCCAUAAUCAAGAGUUCCAUUCACAUAACGAAAAAUUCGUUUUGCUGCAGCUAGGUGCAUGACUAUGGGUCUCUCCAUGAACCUGCUUACUAUGCCAACUGAAUAAGCUAUAUCAGGUCUUGUAAAUACAAGAUGCCUGAGUCCUCCAACCAUACUUUUAAGGCUUAAUGACCUUUUAGCCCUCGAAGUAUGAAUGGAAGUUCCGAUGCGGUCUUGAAGUUUAAAAACGUACAAUUCGACCCUCAAAGUAUUUUUGUCGUACCUUUUAGCCCUUUUUAAAAAUACCGGCAUAAAUCGGGGGAUAACUUGAAAAAUAGGCAAGAGCAUAACCCAUCAGCACACCAAGAAUUCCUACUAAUUCUCAUUUUAAGCCGACCCUUGAACAUAUAUAAACCAUGUAGGCAAGUAUUCCUUAAUUAAAGAAUGAAUAAAACUUUCUCCAUCUGUUAUCUAAACUAUUGAAGCCACCAGCGAAGUUGCAACCUUGACAUGUGCCAUUGCUGCAGCAAAAGAAACCUGAUUAUAUCGCAUUCCGUAUUUUACUUUUUUCAGCUUCUCUAGUUAUUCUGUAGGCAAUCCCUUAGUUGCAAUUUCGCUAACAGUAUCCAGCAGCUGGGUAACUAUUUCUUUUGAGAUGAAUAUAACAUUCCCGACAGAUCGGUGGACACGUAGGUAAAGUAUUCCAUUCAUUAUUGUUUUUCCAUGUCAGACAUACCAAUCAUUGCCAUCUGUCAGCAAGGUGGAUGUUGUUGAGGUUAAAUUUUUCAACUUAACGUUUGCUGUUAGUUUUUUCUAAAAAAGCUAAUAGAAUGAUAUAUAACUAGGGGUGUAAAUGAGUCGGGCCGAGCCGAACUCUAGAGUGCUCGUGUAUCGUUUGUUAAAAAAUUAGCGAACUCGAACUCGAGCUCGUACUUAGAUCGAGCCAAAAAUAUUGUUUGAGGAUCGACUCAUUAAGGAAUAACUCUGUUCACGAACGGCUCGUGAACUGCUCACAAACAUGUCUCACGAGCUUUUGCUCACGAACUGCUCAUUAACUUAUGCUCACGAACAUGUCUCAUGAAUUUUUGCUCACAACCGCUCAUUAAUUUUGUUCACGAGCUUGUUUAAUAAACUUUGCUAACAAGCUAGCUUAUGCUUAUAAAUUUUUAUGAGCUUGUUUGUUAUUUAACUUAAUUAAAAUAAAUAAAUUAAAAUUCUAACAAUAUUUUAAUUUAUGCUCUAAGGAAACAUAAAUUCAUAAUAAAUCAUGUUUACGAGCUAGUUCACGAACUACGCUCACGAGCCAAAUUCACAAACCAUGUUUACGAACUCAUUAUUCGAACUUGUUCACGAACUAUCGAGUCGAACUCUACAGUGCUCAAGUUCAGCUCGUUUAUAUAACGAAACCUAAAAUUGUGCUCAGGAUCGACUCGUUUAUGAAUCGAACCGAGUUCGAACCGAGUUUUUUUCGAACCGAACACCGAGCGGUUAUCGAGCGUAUCAACUCAUUUACAGCCCUUAAUAUAACAGUAUUUUAGUGGGUUAUAUGAGUCGCCGUGGAGAUCGGGUAGCUACUUGAUAUAUUUUGCUGAGUUCGGUGGGCAAUCUGAUAUAAAACCCAAAACCAAACCAAAUUAAUACUAAAUUUGAUAUUUGAUAUAAUAUAUGAUUUUGGUUCAUAAACCCGUCCAAAUCCAUAUUAAUCAACUAAAAUUGGUCCAAAACCUGAGAGGUCUACUUACUCUCUCGACACAAUUGGUAUAUGAUGAAAAUUUGAACCUUCGGGAAUUGAAAAUAUAUGGGCAUAUACCAGAGGUGGAUCUAAUAUUUCCGCUGCAAUAUGUUGGGGAUAGUAAUGCUCAUGUAUCUAAAGUUCAUAUUACAAGAUUAUAUUUAUCGAUUUCAUACCUGGAAGAAGACCCAAUGCCAAUACAAUACUGGAAAUGCUUCCAAUGUUGGGUGUUCUCUGUUUGUUUACCGAUACAUAUAUGGGGAAGGAGAUGGUGAGCUCUGCAACCGGUUUUCCUAAACUCACCCACCUUUUUCUGGACAGCUUACCGAAUCUUGAUAAAUGGAGGGUGGAGAAAGGAAGCAUGCCCAUCCUUUCAUACUUGCGUAUUCAAAGAUGUAACAAGUUGGAGGAGCUUCCAGAAGGCCUGGUGUUCCUCAAGUCUACGGGUGUGCACGGGUCGGUUCGGCUCGGUUUCUACCUAAAACCGUUACCGAACCGUGUAUUUCGGUUCGGUUCGGUUUUAGGGUAGAAACCGUAACCGAACCGUUUCAAACGGUUUUUUUCGGUUCGGUUAACCGUGGUCGGUUUCGGUUAUAAUAUUUGUUAUUUUAUCAUAUAUUCAUAUAUAGUUUUAAUUUAAUUAAUUUUAUCGUAAAAAUAAAAUUAUGAUAGAAUAAUGUGGUUAAAUAAAUUUUUAUUUAACAGUUGAAUAAAUUCUUAAUACUUAUGACUAAUUAAAAAUUAGGUCGAACAUAUAUUUUGAUGAGAAUGUUAAAUAUAUUUAUUUACAUGUUAUAAUUUAAGGAGAUCUAUAAGCCCAUAUAUAAAUCAACAACCUCAUAAUAUUUCGUUAGUAAUAAUUAAAAAUAUAGUAUAAAACAUAUUAGAAGUCAAAGAGACGCGUAAUCCCAAAUAUCGAUCCAUUACCUAAUUUUUAAUGUUUUGAUUCGAUAGAUAAUAAUAAAAUAUUAUAACAUAUUAUAAAUUAAUGAGGUCCGUGGGUUGAAUACCAAUGGUCUCACCAAACUCGAUUGAUCGACCGACCAACUAACCAAUUGAACUUUUCAUUUUUCGGCUUUUGGCUUUAACAGUAUAAUAAUAUAUAGUAUAGUAUAAAUUUAUAAUAUCACUUUUAAUGUGAGACCGUUAGAGUAUUUAAAUAUAAUGUUAAUUAAUUUCGGUUGAAAAAUAUCACCUGUUAUUUAUUAAUAAAUAUAUAUAAUAAUAUUAUGUUUUUAUACAUAUGUCGCCUGUGUUAAUUGUAGAAAAACGAUUUUUUAGUUUGAAAAAAAUAUUUAUCUUGAACUUUAAAUCUUUAAAAUUAAAAAAAAAACAUUUUUUUCAACGGAGAAGUUGUGUUUGUUGAAUUACAUUUAGUUUCAAAUUGCAAAAAUACUUUCUUAAAAAUUUUAAAAAGAUUGUAUAUUAUCGAAAAAGAACUCUAAACAUGUGUUAUAUCCUUAAAUUCUAUACUCUCUGGCGCAGAAAAAUAAAUUAUAUUCGAAACAGAUUAUUAAUUUGAACUUAAAGUAGCAGAGAGGUGUUUCGGUGAAAACCCCCGCUUAGUGCACAAUAAAAUAAAUACACAGUGUGUGAUAUAAUAAGAAUAUAAUAUCUUAGCCAUGUCCUUCUUCACACAGUACUUACCUAAACAGUUCCUAAUGCAUCUGUGAAGUGAGGACUUACCUAAACAGUUCCUAUUAUCACGAAUGCAUCAUGAACUGAGCUAACCCUUCCCUUAAAACAUAAUGCAACGAACCUCGCAAUGUCUGUAAGCCACGAGACCUGGUCUCAACUAUUCUAAUAAGUCGUCCCCAAUCAUUCUUAUCUAAUGUCAUAUCACCCGUUCCCGAUCAUUCUUAUCUAAUGUCAUAUCAUCCGUGAGAUUCAAGGCUCUCAUGUCCAAACUUAAUUGAUCAGCCCAUGUCCGACGAGACUCACUUCUCUUUCUCUAGUCAUUCAUUAUUCUUGAGGUGAACAACAUUUAAAAAAAUUCAGAGCCGAGGUAUUCUUACACAGCAAAAUAUCGAUUUAUGAUAAUGUUGGACAGCAGAAAAUGAAAAGGAAGUAAUAUUUCACUAACCAUAUGUGAUAUCCAAUCCCAACAUUGAAAAUUGCUCACUCGAGAGAGACUGUUUUAGUAUCUCAUUAAUUAUUCUCGAAAUGGACAAGUGUUAAAGGAAUCCCGGAGCCACAAAUAUAACCACCUAACGACAGAAUAUUAAUUUAUGAUAGUACUGGACAGCAGAAAAUCAGAGGAAGUAAUUUUUCACUAGCCAAUAUGUGAUAUAUUUUCAUGCCGCCAACACAACAGAGUACAUUGUUGCCCAAAGGUUGCAACAACACACAAAACUAGGAAACUUCAAAAUCUUGACUCCUGCCCAUUGUUCAAACUUUUUCUUUGUGAUCUUUUUUUAUAAUGAAACACUUUUGUUUUUUUUCCUUUAUAGUUAAAACUACAAUAUAUACAGCGUUUAGGACUGGGAAACUGCUUUCUUCAAGACGCUGAAGGUGACAAGCAUAAGCAGUGAUAUCAUGAUCUUCUUUGAAGCAAGUAUCCGCAAGUUCACCUUCAUGCCAUGGUAACUCAUGAGCUUCAGUGUUGCUCUAAUUACUGACAUAAGCCAAGAUACAACGGACAAGAACACCACUUUCAUUGUGUCUGCAGGUCCAUUCACACUUCUUGUGCCUCCCGACACCUCGACACAGGACCAAGCAGCGCCUUGAUUAUCGGUGGUUCCACUAUGAUUGAGGCCAAGUUUCUCGUUCAACCAACAUGAUAAAGUCACAAGCAGCUUUGCAAGCCAUGCAAUCUCAUCACUGGAGACUGGUCGCAUCAACCAGUCACCCCUGUAUUUCUUACCAGUUUGCUUCUUGUUUCGUAUCAAACUGUUAGUAUUUUACAGACUCUAAGAUGUAAUGUCUGAAGAGUUUUCUAGAUCCAUUUUGAGGAUCAUACAUCUGUACUAUAAAAGAAAGAUCAUGUAAUGCAUUUCAUAAGAUGAAAUCAGUUCAAUAAAAUCUUUUUUAGUAAUCAUAUACUUUCAAUUACAACAGGUGGUAUCAAGAGCACAAGUCUAUCCAUUUCGGCACAAACAUUCUCUACACUAUGACAACAUUCAGCACUAUCUCUGCAGAGUCAUAAAAAAUAUCAAAUAGAUACUUUCUAAUAUCUUUUCGAGAAGUAAACUUUGUUUUUCAUUGAGUUUCACACAUUUUUCUUGGCUGUUAGUAUAAUCAACUAAAAGGCUAUGAAUUCUAGUAUUUUUUUAUAAUAUAUUCAGAUUUUAAGAAAUUUAUUUACUAUUUAUUUUUAAUUUUACAACUAUUUUGUUUCAUUUAUAUCAAAUAAAUAAUAAAUAAAUUUCUUAAAAUCUAAAUAUAUUAUCAUAAAUACUACUCCCUCCGUCCCUCCCAUUUCUUUACACUUUCCCUUUUGGGAUGUCCCAUCCAUUUCUUUACAUUUCAAAACUUAUCCAAAAUAGUCAAUUGGUCCCACCACUUCUUCACUUUUCUUUCCUUUUCACACUACUUUUACUCCACUAUCUUCUUUUUAUACAUUAAAAAUCAAUGGGUCCCACCACUUCACCCACUUUUCUUUCUCUUUUCCACUACUUUAUACAUAUUUCUUAACCUCCGUGCCCAACCCAAACAAUAAGAAAUGGGAGGGACGGGAGGAGUAUAAUUCAUAGCCUUUCAUUUGAUUAUACUAACAGCCAAGAAAAAUGUGUGGAACUCAAUGGAGAAUAAAGUUUACUUUUUGAACGGAUAUUAGAAGUAUCUAUUUGAUAUUUCUUAUGACUUUAAUGAUUCAAAUGAGACCAAAAAUUUCCAAGUGAUCCACCUGAUAUUUUCUAGUGCAAAAAGUGACCUAGUUGAUAAUUAACCCAAAUGAAAACUGCCUUACGAGCUUAUGACUUGUGGGAUCUUGUCGAGAAUGAGUUCCAAAAUCUGCAGAUCCUCAAGCUUCCCCACAAUCAUCCAGGUCAUCGACAAUUUCAGUGAAUGAAUCGCUCAAAAGGAACGCAGAUGCACUAGCAAAAACAACAAGCCGUUGCUGAUUAUAUUUUUCCCAGAAUCAUGAAUACUACUUCUGCAAAACAAGCUUGGGAGACAUUACAAGAUGAAUAAAUUCCAAGGCACUGCAAAAGUUUGAACAAUCAAACUUCAAAGCCUGCGAAGAGAAUUUGAGAAUAUCCGAAUGAAAGACACGAGUUAUUGGAGUUGUGAAUCAGAUGGAAGACCUUUGGCGACAACAUUUCAGAUCAAAGAGUCAUUAAAAAAUUGUUAAUUUCUCUCACAAAUAAGUAUGAUUCUAUUGUUGAAAUUAUAGGAGAAUCAAAAGACAUCUCUAUACUUUCUAUCACUGAACUUGUUGGUUCAUUACAAGUAACAAGCUCAUGAAUAACAAAUCUCUCGGCGAAUGUCGAAGGUGCUUUACAGUCACAACCUAGGAAGCAUGAGUGCAGGUGCGGGUACUGGGGUGCACAAUACGGGGAUACGGGAAUUCGGCAAAUUUAAAAAUAUGGGGAUUCGGGUGCGGGGGAUUCGGCAAUUAUUAAUAUAUUAAAAAUAUAUUUUAUACAUGUAUUUGAAGAGUUAUAUUCAUAUUUAAACUAAAUAAAUGAAUAAAUAAGUUCAAUAUCCUUAACAAUAUACAAUAUAAUUAUUUAAUAACACAAUUAUUGCAUUAUAAUGUAGUUAAGUGAUAGAGUAUUCAAUUAAUCACAGAAUUAAUCAUUAAAAAGAAUCCCUAAGAAUCACCGAAUAUCGAAGAAUCCCAAAAAUCGAGUGUGCGGUGCGGCGAGUGAGUGAAGUAUCCCUGCUUUUUAGGUCACAACACAAAAACUGGCCUCCAUCCAAAGGUUGAAAAUUUAGUAAAGGAAAAAAUGUUAGCAACAGCUUCAAGGAAGAUGCAAGGAAAUCUAAAUUCUACUGCAAAUUGUACAAGACUGUCGUAGUGCUAGUUAAUCCAAAGGCAAAACACCUUAGAUCUAGGAAGUACCGGAAGUACGGUACGCAAAUACGGGGAUUCGGGAAAAUGAGGAUACAGGUAUGGGGAUACGACAUACAUAAAAAAUAUUUGUAUUAUAUAUAUUAUAUAUUUAUUUAUAUAUAGCAAAACUAAAACUAACAUUCAAAUUAAAUCAAAGUACAUAAAAAUCAGCCACCAAGUCACCAACUAUAUACACAUAACCUCACACAUAAAUAUUAUCUAUAUUUUAACCAUAAACUCAUAAUUAAGAAAAUUAUGAGUCAAAGCAGGGAAGAACUUACCAAAGACGUAAAGAGGAUGGAAGAACUGGGAAGGGAAAUGGUUGAACAUUGUGCCGGUCUUCCGCUAGCUAUAGUCGUUUUGGGUGGAAUUCUUGUAACAAAACCGUCGUUGAUAGAGUGGGAGAAGGUAUAUCGUGAUAGUAAAUCAUCCCUCAAGGCGGGGAGAGGAUUGGAAGAAGCCUAUCAAAGGGAAAUAUUAAGUUUUUUAGUUUGGAGCUACAAUGAUUUACCCCCUCAGUUGAAGCCAUGCUUUUUAUAUUUAUCUAAGUUUGGUGAUAAUAAAUAUAUAGAAGUGGGGACUUUGUAUCAGCUGUGGAUCGCCGAAGGAAUGAUACUCUCGAGUGACAAAAGGGAAGGAGAAACAAUGAUUCAAGUGGCUGAAUCAUACAUGGGAGAACUAGUCCACAGGAGUAUGGUUCAAGUGAGAUUUAACAAUGUGAAAUCAUCACCUACAAAGUUUGAAGAUUGUUCUCUGCAUGACCUUAUGCGAGAUAUGUCUUUAAUACAAGCAAAAGCAGAAGAUUUUUUUGAAGAUAUACAUUCCAAAGUGCAAAUGAGUUUCAUCUCAAAUCUACUGCAGAUUCAAGAAACACAACUCGACUUGUGAUUAAUUUGGAUGAGGAAUAUUCUAGGAAAAAAGUUAAUUACUACUUCUCCAAGAAACGCGAUAAAAAAUGCUAUCGAUCAAUUUUACUCCUCGGUCAGUUUGGAGCGAGAAGUUUGCCACGGUCGCUCGGGUCACAUGUUGCCAAUUUUAGGUUCCUAAAAGUGUUUUCAGUGGAGAAAUAUACCAAUUUUUCUGGUGCAUUUUCCCAUAUUAAUUUUGGAAGAGCAUUAGGGGCCCUUGUUUACUUGCGAUAUCUUAGUGUAAGGGGCACUAAUUUGUUGGUUUUUCCUUCUAUACAAAAGUUGGUACUGUUACAAACUCUUAGAUUGCAUACAUGCGAUGAUAUGUAUGCUUUACCAUGGUUGUCAAGAGAUGUUCUGGUGAAGCUCGAUUGUUUGCGGCACCUGUAUUUGCCUAAAUUUAAAGUUGACGUUUUGGUAAGGAAAUCGAAAUUACGGUUUAAUGGGUUGAGCAAGUUAGAGACCCUGGAGAACUUUGACACUACUUGGUGUGAGGUUAAGGAUCUACGUGAACUAAUCAAUCUUCGGAAACUAAUGGUAACAGUGAGAGGUAGCUGUGAUAUUCUGGAAGAAAUGAUGAAAAACUUGGAUGAUAUAGCCUCCUCACCAUCUUCAUGUCUGAG
rnacentral:lncRNA from 1 species